CGGGGCCGGUCCCGCUCCGUUCCCGCUCCGUUCGCGGGGAUCCGUUCGUGACCGAGCGCUCCCUGUGCCCCGCUGGAGCUCUGCCCUCCCCGUCCUGGUGGAGAGGAGCGCUGCCUGCAGGGCGCCUCCUUCUCCGAGCCCCGCCGUGCCGCAGCCGUGUGAGCAACAAGUGCGUGCUGGCCCUGCGGGCAGUGCCUGUGCUGUGAAUUAUUGGUGUUCUCUGCGUGGUGUUCUGCACUAAUCGUACUGCCUACAACCUCACAAGAGCCUUUGAAAGGAGACCACCUAGCUCUGGAUCUGGUUACAAACAGACGUAAAACUCCUUUGAAACUGGUGCAGGAAUAGGCUUCUUGCUGCUGUUUGUCCACGUAGAACCAGUGAAGGUUUCCAAUGAGGCUGUCACACCUGAGAUUGAGUAAUAAUGGCUGAGCAGGGAUAUCUCAAACAAACCACAGUUGAUCUUAUCAUCUGCUGUGUGUCCUGGAAGACCCAGAGAUGAAGAGGUUGGACACUGGAAAACAUUUUGCCCAGGUGAAUAAUUUGAACAACAAUCCAAGCAACAGCAGUAAUGACUCAAAGCUACUACUGUCUUAAAUGGAGUUAAAAAUGAAACAAGUCAAAUAUUCCAUCUUGCAUAAAGAAUUCUAGCAUAGAGGCUGGUUUGUGAAUUUUACACAGAUUAAACAGGUUGGUUUUUACA